rnacentral:lncRNA from 1 species
GGAGCUCUGUGUCUGCAUGCAGGACUUUCCUCGCGUGUUACAUAAGGCCCUGGGGUGGCGAGAAGAAGGGGGCGUAGGGAGGCGCGGCGGGAACCAGCGGCGAGGUGGGGCACCGCGCGUGGGGGAGCGCAGGGCGCGGCGGAGUCGGGUUUCAGAGCGCGGGUGACUCAGGCACGGGCGGCAGCCGGGAUCCCGCCGCCGCCGCCGAGCGCCGCCUUUGUUCCGCGGGCAAAGUGGAGCUGGGGUCCGGCAGCUGCACCAUGACACACAGGAGGACCGCGCAGGGCCGGCGCCCGAGGUGGCUGCUCUCCAUCAUCUCCACGCUGCUUUCCACCGUCCUGCAGACGCGCGCCGCGACAGGGUCAGCCUCUCAGGACCACCUGGACCUCACAGAGCUCAUUGGUGUCCCAUUACCCUCAUCUGUGUCCUUUGUCACCGGCUAUGGUGGUUUCCCGGCUUACAGCUUCCGGCCUGGGGCCAAUGUCGGCCGCCCAGCCAGGACCCUCAUCCCAUCGACCUUCUUCAGGGAUUUCGCCAUCGGUGUGGCAGUGAAGCCCAGUAGUGCCCAAGGGGGCGUGCUUUUCGCUGUUACUGAUGCUUUCCAGAAAGUCAUCUACCUGGGCCUGCGGCUUUCCCGUGUAGAGGACGGCCGCCAGCGGGUUAGUAGGGCAGUCUGAAAACAGGGGCUGGCAUGGUUGCCCCGUGCGUUCUUCAGAAAGUCAUUCCUUCCUUCCAACCCUGGCUGUUGAGGGUAAGAUGUCCUUUGUGUUUGCUAACAGCAUCACCUUUUAGAUAUGUGAGACAUAGCUCCCUCCCUAAGAAAUGUGUGAACCAAGCGCUUGGCGAUACCACGCACGGUUCCAUACAGCCAGAGAAAGAGAGCUGCUCCAAAGAUCCUGCUCAUGUUUCCUCCGAUAUCGGGAUUUAAUAUGGUCCCCUAAAAUAUUAUUGCCUUCAUGCUGUAGGGUUCUGCCUGUCUACCCAGUCAUAGUUGAGUGUGGCAUCUAUUGAUGUAAGUCUGACUUGCUGGGAAGUUAAAAUUCUAGGAAGAAGCAGCACAGAAUCUUGACCUUCCCCCAACGCUCCCCCUUCCCAUCCCCUGCGCCGAUCUUAAGAUUUCCAUUUGACAAGUCUUGAAUUAUGACUGCAGCUGAAACAGAUUCGUUGAGAUGAAUUUUAUGAAAAGUCUGUAUCAUCAUGCUAUAGACUCCGAUAUCCUUUUCCAUGUAAGAACAUAAAGACAUCUUUUCCGGG